rnacentral:rRNA from 1 species
GGUUAGGCGACUAAGCGUACACGGUGGAUGCCCUGGCAGUCAGAGGCGAUGAAGGACGUGCUAAUCUGCGAAAAGCGUCGGUAAGGUGAUAUGAACCGUUAUAGCCGGCGAUGUCCGAAUGGGGAAACCCAGUGCAAUUCGUUGCACUAUCGUUAACUGAAUACAUAGGUUAACGAGGCGAACCGGGGGAACUGAAACAUCUAAGUACCCCGAGGAAAAGAAAUCAACC